rnacentral:rRNA from 1 species
UCGAACGGUAACAGGAAGCAGCUUGCUGCUUUGCUGACGAGUGGCGGACGGGUGAGUAAUGUCUGGGAAACUGCCUGAUGGAGGGGGAUAACUACUGGAAACGGUGGCUAAUACCGCAUAACGUCGCAAGACCAAAGAGGGGGACCUUCGGGCCUCUUGCCAUCAGAUGUGCCCAGAUGGGAUUAGCUUGUUGGUGAGGUAACGGCUCACCAAGGCGACGAUCCCUAGCUGGUCUGAGAGGAUGACCAGCCACACUGGAACUGAGACACGGUCCAGACUCCUACGGGAGGCAGCAGUGGGGAAUAUUGCACAAUGGGCGCAAGCCUGAUGCAGCCAUGCCGCGUGUAUGAAGAAGGCCUUCGGGUUGUAAAGUACUUUCAGCGGGGAGGAAGGUGUUGUGGUUAAUAACCGCAGCAAUUGACGUUACCCGCAGAAGAAGCACCGGCUAACUCCGUGCCAGCAGCCGCGGUAAUACGGAGGGUGCAAGCGUUAAUCGGAAUUACUGGGCGUAAAGCGCACGCAGGCGGUCUGUCAAGUCGGAUGUGAAAUCCCCGGGCUCAACCUGGGAACUGCAUUCGAAACUGGCAGGCUUGAGUCUUGUAGAGGGGGGUAGAAUUCCAGGUGUAGCGGUGAAAUGCGUAGAGAUCUGGAGGAAUACCGGUGGCGAAGGCGGCCCCCUGGACAAAGACUGACGCUCAGGUGCGAAAGCGUGGG